rnacentral:rRNA from 1 species
GAUGAACGCUGGCGGCGCGCCUAACACAUGCAAGUCGAACGGUUAAAGCACCUUUUAGGUGUGUAUAAAGUGGCGAACGGCUGAGUAACACGUGGGCAACCUGCCCUCCUCUUGGGGAUAGCCUCGGGAAACCGAGGAUAAUACCCGAUACUUCAAUGUGGCCGCAUGACGACAUUGAGAAAGCUUUUGCGGAGAAGGAUGGGCCCGCGGCCUGUUAGCUUGUUGGUGGGGUAGAGGCCUACCAAGGCAAUGAUGGGUAGCUGGGUUGAGAGACCGACCAGCCAGAUUGGGACUGAGACACGGCCCAGACUCCGACGGGAGGCAGCAGUGGGGAAUCUUGCACAAUGGGCGAAAGCCUGAUGCAGCGACGCCGCGUGCGGGACGAAGGCCUUCGGGUUGUAAACCGCUUUCAGCAGGGACGAGGCGAUAAGUGACGGUACCUGCAGAAGAAGCCCCGGCUAACUACGUG